AUUGCUUCUUGGCCUUUUGCCUAAGAUGAAGGGCAGUAUUUAAGUUCUUAUCAACUUAAUGUCUGAUACGACCUCUAGCUGAGGACAAUAUAUACUAAGUGGACUUUCGGAGCAGGGAGAUGUAGUAAGAGCUUGCUCUGUCCACUCCAUGCAUCAACCUGGUAUUAUAGUAUCUCCAGGGACAGUGCACCCCAG
rnacentral:snRNA from 1 species